rnacentral:rRNA from 1 species
UACGGGGGGGGCUAGCGUUGUUCGGAAUUACUGGGCGUAAAGCGCACGUAGGCGGCUUUGUAAGUUAGAGGUGAAAGCCCGGAGCUCAACUCCGGAAUUGCCUUUAAGACUGCAUCGCUAGAAUUGUGGAGAGGUAAGUGGAAUUCCGAGUGUAGAGGUGAAAUUCGUAGAUAUUCGGAAGAACACCAGUGGCGAAGGCGACUUACUGGACAAAUAUUGACGCUGAGGUGCGAAAGCGUGGGGAGCAAACAGG